CUCGUAGGUGGCCAACUAAGUCGGACGUGAAAUCCCUCGGCUUAACCGGGGAACUGCACCCGAUACUGGAUGGCUCGAGUUCGGGAGAGGGAUGCGGAAUUCCAGGUGUAGCGGUGAAAUGCGUAGAUAUCUGGAGGAACACCGGUGGCGAGGGCGGCAUCCUGGACCGACACUGACGCUGAGGAGCGAAAGCCAGGGGAGCAAACG
rnacentral:rRNA from 1 species